AGGAACGGGGGCCGGCGCGCAGCCCCAGAGCGCGCGUGCGCCGCCCGGCGGGCGCGCGCACCUCCCUCCGCCCGCACCUGGCCGUGAGGGCGGCACAAUGGCGGCUUCCGUAGCCCCGCCGCGGCCCGUCACCCACCUGCUCUUCGACAUGGACGGCCUCCUUCUUGAUACCGAACGGCUCUACUCACUGGUGUUCCAAGAAAUAUGCGACUGCUAUGGAAAGAAAUACAGCUGGGACGUCAAGUCCCUCGUUAUGGGAAAAAAGGCAUUGGAAGCGGCACAGAUCAUAAUAGACGUCCUGCAGCUGCCGAUGUCCAAAGAGGAGCUGGUGGAGGAAAGCCAGACGAAGUUGAAAGAAGUGUUCCCCAAGGCUGGUCUGAUGCCAGGCGUGGAGAAACUCAUCCACCACCUGCGAAAGCAUGGUAUGCCCUUGGCCGUUGCCACCAGCUCUGGCCGUGCAUCGUUUGAGAUGAAGACCAGCAGUCACAAGGAGUUCUUCAGCUUGUUUGACCACAUCGUUUUGGGAGAUGACCCCGAAGUGAAGAACGGAAAACCAGAUCCCGACAUAUUUCUAGCCUGUGCGAAGAGAUUUUCUCCUCCUCCUCCCAUGGAGAAGAAAGAACUCUACAUGGUAUUGCCCGCUGAAGAUGGAAUUCAACAUAAAAACUAUCUUGGGCUCCACUAAAGACAUCACUGAAGCACCAAAAGGCCUCCAGGAGGUAGCAUCUUAGGAUAUACAGAGGGUUAUAGUGUAUUCUGCAGAAUUGGGUUUGAAAAAUGAAGAAGGUAGAUGGAGGUUAAAGUAAGUUUCUCUCCUACUGAAAGUUUCUUGAACCCAUGGCCAUCAGCCCAUUCACUGAAUGCUGCAUGUCCUUGAAGCACCGUUGACUUGCUUCUUGCUGCAUGAGGAUUCAUCAGAGAAAUACUGCUUCAUGACAGCCUGAGACUCUGGCCCCCAAACUUCAGUGUCCAAGCUCAUGGGAAAGAUGAUGCAUUUUGCUAGAAGAGAAGGUUACCUGGGCCUGGAACCCAAACGCAUUCCCAGAAGUACUUUGACGUCUCCCUACCAAAUCCAUGGUCACCAUAUUGCAAAAUGAUGGUGCUCACAUUCAUAUUCUCACUGUGGAUCCCACACUUUUCUCAUUGUGCUGACUUCCUUUGCUAUGGUGGACCUUUGCAUGGUCUGGGAGGAUAAGGGCCUCAGCACUUUAGCAUCAGUUAGUAGAGACUCUUCCUCCUCCUCCUUGCCUUCAGUUCAUCAGAUCACUAACCAACGAGCAGCAUCACAUGGAGAGCACCAAGCAAAGGUCUCAGGUGGCAGUCCCUGGGAUGUUCUAGCUUUGGUGUUCCUGAGAGUUUGCAAUUAGUUUAUAUCCUUUGCCUUGAUGAUCAGAGGGUCCAAAAUCAUAACUUCAAAGUGCGAGGAAAGAAAAUAAUACUUUAUCCAAUGACUGCAGUAAAUGCAGUCUGGUGUCUCAAAUUUAGUCCACUGAUUAUUCUUCAAACCAGAAAAGAUGCGUGUCAACAUAGAAAUGGUCUUUGUUAUGGGGAACCAAUUCCAUGACUGCAUACUAUUGAUUCUCAGUCACUGAAGCCAGUUUCCUAUUUGUGGGUCAAGGAUGUCUUGCACAAAGCUCUCUCCUGUAAGAUAAUAGCAACUAAUAUCUUAGUAUCUACAACUGGAAGUCUUGGUAUGAAAGUUUCUAUGUCUCUUAGAUGAGGGGCAGCCUGUGGUUUCCACAUGGGAUCCAGUUCUUUCUGCCCAUUUGUGGAGUGACUUGGAGAACAGGAAGCUGGUUUGCUGAAGGACCACUGGGCAGAGAGCCGACUGCAGUGCUGAUGCCCAGAGGGUCAAUGCACGAUGUGAAUUGAAGAUGGUAGAAGCAUGACAGCUUGGAUCCCUGAAUGACCGUGUGGAGCAGAGGUUUCCGCUGCCCUCAACACAGGCUCUACACUGUGCAUGGAAAUGACCACGUCUGAGCCACCACGUUGGGUCUGUUUGUAGCUGCAGCUUACUCUACCUUGACGCGCUACCUCUGGUAAGUGAUAUUUCUCCCCGGAACCUUGUCUGACAGAGAUUAUAGCAGUGCUGAUAGCUUCUGUUCUUCUGAGAAUAAGUUCAACAACACGUGUAAAAAGCUCCAUAGCUAUAAAUUGUAGCACAAACAUCUAUUGUUAGAAUUACCACUGACAUGAGAAAUCAUGGUUUAUCAGUCAUAGCUGAAGCUCUAGAUUUAUUCACACAGAGGGGAGCUAGAGAUGUAGUUUUUAGAAAAUGUGGAAGGAGACCAGUGAUCACCAUAUAAAGCUAAUUUUGAAAACUCCGAAUAUUGGCUUGGUACAAAACUGAGAAACAUUAAAUGUAAAACCAGAACAAUCCUUUGCAACAGACAUGGGACAUUUGAAAGCAAUUUUCCCACUAGUUGAAUUUCAUGGCAUAAAUGUUCUCAUUUUUGAGGGACUGUAAUUAUUUAGACAUUUGCUCAGGGACACGUUUAGCAAAAUAAGAACUUUCCAAAGUGACUGUGUUAUGUUGAAGAACAGCUCGUGUGGCAGAAAUAAUAGACUCUAAGCUAAACACAGGACCGUCUGGAAUUGUCUUCUAUUUUAUAGCAAAGAUUUGAUUGAAAACCAGGCAGAAGUAUGGAGCAUUAAUACCAGCAGUUAUGCAUGCCUGGAAUCUAUUGUGUGUGAAUGCUCUGGUCGAGUCAUAUGUAGGGGUCUAGCAUUGCCAUCAACCACAGUAUAUGGAAUUACUGAGAACAUGUGUGUUAUUUUAUUUGACUUUUUUUUUUUUUUUAAUCUCUCAGUGGCACACCCUACCAGAUUAAAACAGUGGUCCAACAAAAUAUAGACUGACAUCUCUACCAGUGGUUCAAACUACACCUCAUAGCAUGGGGAAUGGAUUUUGUGAGCCCGACAGUGGGACUGUUAUGGGUUCUCAAUACAUGCAAAAUUAUAAUAAUUGUUUCUACUUGCUCUCUGUUUCAGAAUCAUUAAUUAAUUUUCCUUAUUGUAUUCUAAUUAGAGUACAUUUAAAAAUGUUUUAUUAAUUGCCAGGACACUCCUGGCUCCUUGGCAGUAGCUCUCCACUCUGUAGAAGCUGUUGCUUGUUUUUGUAUUAUUUAUGAAGGGUAUGUUUAUUCUUUCUUAGCAUAAAGAAUACUUCUUCCAAGCACUGGAUUGCUCCCAGGAAUAACGAUGACGUGUUGAUACAGAGAAGUGGAGUGAUGUUUAGGCUCCUGGAUCUGUGCUUGGGUCUUCCACUUACUAACUGAGCCGGCUUGGAAACUUGGCUUAAAUUCUCUGUGUGUCACUUCUCUUGUUUAUAAAAUGAGAAUGGAAACCCCAGUGUCUCCUUCAUAGGGGUGCUGUGAGGAUUUAGGAGAUAAUCAGAACCGUCUUUGGUCCCUUGUCAAUGUUCAAUACUUGUGAGUUAUUUUUAUAGUUGACCUUUUGUUCUUAGCUGGUUUACUUAUUCAUGAAAUGAUUAUGUAGCACUUCCCAGGUACUAGAGACACUGCUGGUUUCUCGCAAAUAGAGAGAUAAUUACAAGGAAGCUCUGGUGAGCUUCACACGGAAGGGGAGGCACCCUGACCUCCUUUCGAUGCUGGUAUGGUUAUGGCUGAAGUAAAUUCAAGAAAUUCUUGUGUCAAAGUAAGGAGUUCUCAGUUAAGGUUGAGGAAGAUAAGGCUUCACAAAGGAGUUGCUUUCUUUCUUUUUUUUUUUUUUUGGGACAUUUUCUUUUCUAAUUGUACCAUUUCCCUCCCAUGUAAGUUUAAUACCGUACUUACAUUGUUUAUCUAUUUAUGUACCGCGUGCAUAUUUGUGCUUUAUACAUAAAAACACUAAGGUUUCUUUCACCCCUAGGGUUCAGUCUUGGUCCCUUAGGGGUUCUACUGUCUGCAUUGAUAGUACAUACUGUAGUGAGAAAUAGCACCAUUGAACGGGCAGAGAAGAAAUUUGGAUAAGACAAAUAAGAGAGUACCCCAAUGGCCAUCCUGGCUGAAGCAUCUUAUAUAGAGUGACACAAUCCACACGUGUCCAUGUUGACAUCUACAUAUACUUGUGUUUACAUACGCAUGUCUCUUGUGUGUGCUGAUGCUGCUUAGGUGUGUACUUAGGGUAUUUUACUGUAAAACAUGCCUAGUUCUAAUUAGCAAGUAGAGUUUACAUUAUUCUUAACAUACCCUUUUUAGUGAUUCUUCACAUAAUUCAUGGGAGGAAAAAGUACGUACAAUCCUCCAAAUAUUAUAUCAGUGACCUACUGAGUGGACAAAUCUUGUAGUUCAUAGUGAACAAAACUGGAUAGGCAACAUGUAAAAAAAAAAAAGCCUCAUUAAAAUCUGUUUUCCCAUCCUAA